GCACACUUCCACCCUCUGUUAAGACUGAUAAGAGAUCCUUAGUGAACCAACGCAACAACUUGCCUGUUCAAACUUCCACUGGGAGUAUUUUCACUCUGGAAUGUGUGCAGCCAAACAAGGCAUGCUGGACCCAGCCACCCAGUCCAGUCCAGCUGGAGAAGUUAAACCAUGCCUUACUGGAGAGAGGGCCAAAAAAUGAAUUCCUAGCAUCUGUUGGAGGCACAGUCCUCACCAGGUUGUAUUUCCAAACAUUGGGACUACUUCAAGAUGUAGAGGCGACAGUAAGAUUCUGCAAACACAUUUUGGUAUAUUAAUACCUUAACCCAAGUAGUA
rnacentral:lncRNA from 1 species